rfam:TPA: Bos taurus chromosome 17, whole genome shotgun sequence.
UCCCUGGUGGUCCAGUGUUUAUGACUCUGUGCUCCCAAUGCAGGGGCACAGGUUCAAUCCCUGGUCGGGGAA